GCUUACAGCCAUACCACACUGAGCACGCCCGAUCUCGGAAGCUGAGCAGUGCUGGGCCUGGUUAGUACUUGGAUGGGAGAUCACCUGGGAAUACCAGGUGCUGUAAACU
ensembl:rRNA 5S_rRNA 5S ribosomal RNA